AAGCUGAUCGUCUUUUGAGCUCAGCCCUUGGGCUGCACGGUGGCAGGGAGCCUCUGCGGAUUCUUCCCUCUCUCCAGUAUUAGAACAUCUGUGCUUCGGUGUGUUCCCCACCACUGCCUCUCUCUCACUGAGGCCCAGGGUCUUCCUUCCAGGAUAGUGAUCAGACCCGCCCAACUCUCACGAGGCCCCACCAAGGGUCGGCUGGAUGAGACCCUGAAGGCCCUGCAGUCUCUCCCACCUUCCUUGGUGAGGGGGCAGGACUCCACCUCUGACCGGCCCUGCUCCCAGCCUGCCUUAGUUGCCUGGCAACGGCUCUGCGUCUCUCGCUGAGGACACACGAUGGCCGGUGGUGGCAAUCCAGCAGCCAAGAGGGUGGUGGUAUACCGGAACGGGGACCCCUUCUCCCCAGGCCGCCAGCUGGUGGUGAGCCAACGCCGCUUCCCCACCCUGGAGACCUUCCUCCGUGAGGUGACCUCGACUGUGCAGGCCCCAGUGGCUGUGCGGGCCCUCUAUACGCCUCGUGGUGGCCACCCUGUCACAGACCUGGCCGACUUGCAGAAUGGAGGGCAGUAUGUGGCUGCUGGCUUCGAAAGAUUCCGCAAGCUGCACUAUUUAUCCCCCAGACGGAAGGAUCCAGGUGGGAAGGGCAGCAGACUACCAGGUCCUCCUGUGACUCACCACCCAGGUGACAGGACCCUUGGACCGCGACCACCUGCAGGUUCCCCCUGCUACAUCCAUGUGUUCAGGAAUGGGGACCUGGUAAGUCCGCCAUUUAGCCUGAAGCUGUCCCAGGCUGCUGGCGAGGACUGGGAAACCGUGCUGAAGCUCCUGACUGAGAAGGCCAAACUGCAGGCUGGGGCUGUGUGCAAACUCUGCAGCCUGGAGGGGCUCCCACUGUCAGCAAGAGAGGCUCUGGUGAACGGCCAUUAUUAUGUGGCGGUCGGAGAGGAGGAGUUCCAGGCCCUCCCUUAUGUGGAGCUGCUGGUGCCCAGCCCCUCACCGCCCAGGGGCUGCUGGCCCAGGGCCCCAGGGCACAGGCACCGCAGCCCUCUCCAAAGGAACCACGCCCCACUGAGCCAUCUGCUUUCUAUGCCAGACCCCAGCCUGCCAUUCAGCCAAGCAACAGGCUCCCCACGCUCUCAGUUCCCUCAGGAGUCAAGGGAGUGUAUGAGGCUCUCCACCCGAGGAAGGAGACAGCAGGGGCCCAGGAAGUGGCAGAUGAUGAAGACACCUGCACGGAGGAACCCUUGGAUCAGCACUGAGAGAAGAGCAUCAUCACUUUGUGUAAAGGAAACAAAAGCUCAAAGAAGACACAUACAUUGAGGCAAACCGACGACUUAAACCAAGGCCUGCUGGACUCCAAAGCCUGUGCCCCGAUUGAACUAAACGGAGAUGGACAAACAAAAGAGCCGGUGAAGCCCAUCUGAUUCUGUUUCAGCUCAGGCUUGGGCCUUAUGGAGAGACCAAAUUUUUAGCAGCUAUGCGCGAGAAAGGGGCCAUUCACAGACACACCUCAGUAUCCAAGAAGAGGGUCUUCAUCUCCUGCAGCAACUGCCGGGCCCAGGUCCGCUCAUGAACCUGCUGCAGGCGGGAGGAGGCCCGCUUCAGCAGCGGCUGUGUGCCACCCCACAAGGCGGCCACCAGCACCAGAGCCAGCACCUGUCCUGGAUGGAGAUGCGAGGUCACUCACCCCCCCCAAAAACCGUUGCCCGCCGGCCCGGCCCUCCUCGUACCUCCCUUCCCCAGCCAGCCACCCCCACAUCCCUCCCUCGCUCUCCGACGCGCCGGGUGCGAUUGGCGGGUAGGACAGGCCCCGGGAGGCCAGGGAGAUGGGUCCGAGAGCCCGGAGUUUGGGGUUCCGGCAGGGGUGAAGGUCAGGUAGUGGAGGUGGGGCGGGAAAUGAACUCCGGGCAAGGUUUGGGAAGCCCCUAGAGGGGCGGGGCCGCCCA